rnacentral:rRNA from 1 species
UACGUAGGCAGCAAGCGUUGUUCGGAGUUACUGGGCGUAAAGGGUGUGUAGGCGGUUUUCUAAGUCUGGUGUGAAAUCUCCCGGCUCAACUGGGAGGGUGCGCCGAAAACUGGAAGGCUAGAGUGCGGGAUGGGAGAGUGGAAUUCCUGGUGUAGCGGUGAAAAUGCGUAGAUAUCAGGAGGAACACCUGUGGUGUAGACGGCUCUCUGGACCGCAACUGACGCUGAGACACGAAAGCGUGGGUAGCAAACAGG